CAGAAGCAUCAUACUGUCUGAUUCCAUUUAGAUAAAGUUCUAAAAACUGCAAACUGAUGUGCAAUUAUGGAGAACAGAUAAGUAGUUGCCUGAGAUGGCUUGAGAAAGAAGGGAAGAGGAUUCCCAAGGGAGGAAUGCAGUGAAACAUUUGGGAGUGAUGUAUGUAUUCAUUGUCUGCAUUGUGCUCAUCAUUUCAUGGUAUGUAAUAAGUCAGAGCUGACUGAGUUGUAUAUUUUUGAUAUAUGCCGUUUAUUGUUUAUCAGUUAUAUCUCAAAGUUAUAAAAAUUGUACCCAUUCAAAAACCAAAUAGAUGUUCACAGCAGUGUUAUUCACAUUAGACAAAAACUAGAAGCAGUACACAUCCAUCAGCUAGUGGAUGGAUAAACAGAAUGUGCUGUAUCCAUGUCAGCCACAGAGAGGAAUCGAGUCCUGGUCUGUGAUGCUGAAUGUGCAGCAUGAAUGAACCUUAGAAACAGUAUACCAAGUGAGGGAAGCCAGACACAAAAAAUGACUGGCUGGGCUACACCACUGACCUGGAAGUUUGAAGACACGCCAAACCAUGGGCCGAUCACUGGGGCUGGUAUUGGUGGUGGAUUGGCUAUAAACGGGUGUGGAGAAGACCUGUGGGAGUAGAGAGAGCAUCCUGAUGGUGACUGUACAGCUGUUAACUUAGAAAAAGUCUUCAAAUCCUACCCUGAAAAUGGGUGGCUUUUGUGGCAUGUAGGCAUUCCUCAAUAAAGUCACCAAAAAUGGGUAGCUACUCAAAAACUUAAAAUUCUGUGAAGGAUGACCAUUCAGGGAACUGGGCUAUAUUGCUAAUUUCAUUGUAGUAGGUUGCUUUGAUAUAUACUUUGUUGAGACUCAGUGAAUGACGGUUCUAUGUCAGAUACCCAGCGGAUUCUACGUUUUUGUUUUUUUUUUUUGGUGUGUGUGUGUGUACCAGGGAUUGAACUCUGACAUACUUAGCCACUGAGCCAC
rnacentral:lncRNA from 1 species